ensembl:lncRNA
UAACUUUUGUGUAGGGGGUUGGCAGAGCACAUAUUCGCGGCCUAAGGGACGGUUGGCAUAAGGGUUGGCAAGGCGUUCACACGCGAGGGAAACUUCCGAGGAGUGAGAACAGCCCUGUGCAGGGUCGUGAAUGGGGGGUGGGAGGGAACCGAAGAAUCUUUGAACUCCAGGGCUUUAGGGAAUUUGGGGAAGGGAAACUGGGGGUGGCCAAAGCGGCUAGACCUUUGCGGGACUUCAACGCUCCCCACCUCUCCUCUCUGCCAGCCCACGUGCAGCAAAGCAAGGGUUCGGCGGCCGAACUGAGUAAGAGCCCGGGCGUCUGGGCAGGAGGGAGGAGGGCUAGGCCAGGAGGAAGGAGUCCGGGCCGCCGCCGCCCCGCCCGUCGGGCUGUCCGCCCCGCCUACCCCGAGCGAGGCGGAGCCGGCGCCCGCCCGGAGGAGCAGGAGGAGGAGGAGAGGUCGGAGCCGUCUCCAGGAGCCCUUAGAGACAGAGUCCCCGGCAGCAGCGGUGGUGGCAGGGGCAGCGCUCUGGCAGGCGAAUUCAUCCCAUCACCUAAAACCUGGUAACAGUGGGCCACACAGAGUCUUACUGGUAAGUAAUCAGGAGCAGUCAGUUUGUUUUUCAACUUUCUUUUGAGGUGAAAACCCUCAGCGAAGAUGUCAAGCAAAACAGCCAGCACCAACAACAUCGCGCAGGCAAGGAGGACGGUGCAGCAGCUAAGGAUGGAAGCUUCCAUUGAAAGAAUAAAGGUUUCCAAGGCAUCAGCGGACCUCAUGUCCUACUGCGAGGAACAUGCCAGAAAUGACCCUCUGCUGAUGGGGAUACCAACUUCAGAAAACCCUUUCAAGGAUAAGAAAACCUGCAUCAUCUUAUAGAGGAGAAGUCAAGCAGUCCCGCCCCACGUCCCAACAAAGCAAAUUGUGAGCAGCUCCUUAAAAAGAUUUACCUUCGGCUUAUUUGGUAACCACUGCUAAUCACUAAAAUGCUCUUAGCUUGGAAUCAUCGACUCUGAAGUCUUUAUUUUCCAAGUUGUCCUUGCUCUAAAAUACCCUUUACUGAAUUAAUACAAAAUAGCAGUCUCGUUUUCCCUUUGGUAACUAGUGUGUCAUAUGGGGUGACUGCUGAAGGAAAGUUGAUCUGGCCUUUUCAAAAACACCAUUAAAAUAUAUGAGUGAUCCAGUUAAGACCCCAAUUACCUGAGCAUCCGUCUAGAUUAAAAUGCCAAGACAACUUAAGGCCUAAAACCUUUCUAUCAUCGCGUGUUCUUAAUAGGGUUGUGCCAAUCUGUACAGUAUACAUGGGUGAGGAGUGUUGUGUAUAUAUAUUUGUGUGUUUGUAUAUACACAUCUCAAAGCUUAUUUCCGUACUGAAAUGUCUCUCUCUCCAUACCAUCUGUUCCUCAGCUCCAAAGCUAUACCUUGAUCGUGAGCUGUGUGUCGGUGGAAUUAAAUUCUUUGCUUGUAGUAACUGUGCACAAAGUCAAGAACUCCCUUACGAUUGUGUGCAUUGUAAUUGAGUAAUGAAGUCAUCUCUCUCCUCUUGAAAUCUUGCUGACCUCCUAGGCUACAAUAAACUGUGCCAAUUAAAAUGUUAAAACCUGAGCUAAAAGCCCUUUUAUAAUAGGAGGUAUGAAUUCACCAAGGGCUUUCAGGCUUCAGUGAUCCUGAGUCUAGAAAAGGGGAGGAGGCCCUUGGGUGGUACCCAGGGCCCAUAGUCUCGGGAUCAGGGGUAGACACAUCUGAAAUUUCCGCUCUCUAACCACGGGAACGAGACAGAGCAGCCUUGAGCCCGGCCGAGAGGGGAGCAGGAAUGCGUGGAAACCAGCUGCUCUCUGUGAUUUAGCUCACGUUCUCUGCCUCCCUGUAUCUUUCCUCUGCUGCCAGAACGUCUGUCUUCAGAGGUCAUCUUCACCUCCCCAAGUGGGUAGAAGGUGAUGGGGCAGAAACACCCAAUGAACGUAAAAGUAUCAAGACACUUAGGCUCUUUUCACAAACUGGUAGCAUCAGCCCCACCCUUACCUUUUCCACGCAACAUCCAAGAGGAUUGGAUUCAUUCAGUGGUUCACUACUUGGGUCCACAGGCUCCAGCAGCUGGUGUCGGGUUCCUUGAUUUCCUCUGGGCAUGAAGCCUGCCCCCACACAUGCACAGCAUUUGCAGCGGGGAUCCCAAAAGAAGGCAUCUCCUAUGGCCAAGAGGCUAUGUUAACUUUACCAGAGAGGAAGAGAGGGUCUUUAUUUUCAAUGCUCACUUACAUUCCCAAACCGUACACUCAGCCUUUGAUGUUAAGUCAGCGUCAGCUCGUUAAAAAUAAUGAUGGAUUAAAACCUUGUUCUCAAAAAGGAGUCAACCCCAAGAAGGAGUUAUGUCCCAUGGUUUUCCCUAGUUCUGGACAAUCCAGCCCCAUGGCACAAGCCCCCCUUCUCACAUUUGGGCUUUGAGUAUUAGGCUCAUUGCAGGCAAAUGCAACACUGGUUUUAAACUGCUCAAAUAUAGUCCGUAUUUUUCCCAGUCACCUAUCUACUCAGCAUUGUGAACCACCCUGCCUCGUCCAAGACCAUGUGAAAAUCACACCACUGCCCGUACACACUUGUCACCUACCCUUUGGUUCUUCAAUACGUCCAGUUUCCAAGGAAAUCACAGGCACCUGUUGCAGAGAGAAAGGUUUGUUUUUUUUUUUCCCUCUUUCCAAAGGUGAGAUCUGAAAUGCGCAUUAAAGUGACAACUUUACAUUUAAUGCUUCACAUAAUGAGACAUGCUUUUUAAAAUAUUUUUCUAGCAGUAGUUUUAGAACACUAAUCUUAUUUUCUCUCUGAUUUUUACCAUGUUUCCUUAAAUAUUUAUAAUGCAGCUUGUUACAAAAUAUUGUCGUGAAAUUGCUUUUAUUAUACUGGUAUGCACACAUGUUUGGUAGCAAGCAUAGUUUAUCCUUUAGUCCUAAAACACGGUCUUUUACCUAACAGAAAAUAAGUAUGUUUUGCUAUAUAUUUGUUAGUAUGCUUGUAGUGCUAAGGAGUGGAUUUGAGGUCCCAGGAGAGUUCACUUUUAUUUUUGCUGGCCAGAUAGAGUAAAGGCUCUGAGCACGAGCAGCUUGUAACUUCCUAACCAGGUAUAGGUCACGUUCAAGCUAAGUGAAAUGAAAUCCUUUGAUGCUGUAGCCAAGGGGGAAAAAAUUGGAGUUAAAUGUUGAUUUACUUAUAACUAGACGUCUAUGUGAAAAAAAUAUAAUAUAUAUAUAUAUAUACACACAUAUAUAUAAAAUUCACAGAAGUCACUUUUAUUUAUCAGGCUUUAUUCUACUCAUGAAGCCACAGUUAAACUGUUCUGCAGCAGCUGGUUUUUGAUGCUGAUGGACACGUCCAGAAUAUGUUAUUUUUUUCCCACUACCACUGUAAUGACACAUGUAAUCACUUUUGUACAUGCAGCUUCUUGGCUUCAUAGCUAUGAAGCUAUUGAAACAUGUUCACUAUCCUUAGUCUUUAAUGCUGCUUUGGUUAAAAGUGAUCUUUUUCUCUUCUGACAUCUUCAUUAGCUCAUCAUAAUGCUGUCCAUUUGAGGCCUCAGGCCCAUAGCAAGAUACGCUAAGCAGCAUUCCAUGACUCCAAAGUAUUUUACAGAAACACUUUAAAAAAAAAAAUAGAGAAACCCUUUGUAUAUGAGGUGGUUCACAAACUAGAGGUUGUAGUUACUUUUUUUCCUAAAAAGAAUCAGGUGUCUAACCUGUCCUUCCCGUACCAAAAUGAAAAGGGCCAUGUGUACCCUUUAAAGAAAAGACCUGAUUUGCUCUUUAUUUGCACUAUUUUUGUACUUUACUCAUCUUAAACCAUCAGGAAAAAAAAAAUCACACCCAUGAUUUAGUAAUUUGGAGGCAUAGGUUAACUGAAGUGAAGGAUGUGCCACACUUGCCCUUCAGAUGCCUUCUUCUUGACCAAUUUGCAGCUAAGAUCGUGUCAUCUGAGUGGUUACUCCCUAUUUUGAUAAGAUGUAUAUAGACCCAAGAAGUGAAUCACAGUACGUGUCAGUCCUUUCUCAAUAAAUAUAAUACCAGAGUGUUUAUAACUUGUAUUGACUUCUUUUAUGGUAGAGCUGUUAAUAGGGAAAAAAAAUACAUUGAAUCAAAUAGAAUUAUCUGUAUGUGAACAUAGAGCACUUACCUAGAGCUGGGUGGCCUGGGUCAUCAUUGUCUAGCCAAUCCUGUGUCCCUGUGCUGUGUGACUUUGGACAAGGCAUGUCAUCCCUCUGGGCCUCCCAUUUCACCAUCUGUAAAACAAGGGGCUUAAAGUAGAUAAUGGCUGAGAUCCUUCUGUUCCGUCCAACGGCCUACCCCCCCCUCUACUGGUCCUGCCAACAUGUUGGUGCUAUAAGCUGCUUCAAGUAGAAAAUUGGUUUGUCUAUUGUGUUGUGCUCAUUUAAUAGCUUAGGAAAGGCAUUUUUGUUAUAUGGCUUGUUUUCUAGUUUUAUGGACUUGAUUACUGUAAUAAUGUCUUGUUUGUAGCCAUGUAACUAUAAACAUGUAGUCUCUUGAUGUCUCAGUAAAUUUGCAUUUGAUAUAAUAGUUGAUGGGAUUGUUGUUUUAUAACAUUCUUUGGCUCCUCAUCUGUCCAGCCUCUUAUUAACCUAAACAUUGUGAUCAUUGUUUGGAAAUCUGUUCUGUGGAAAGAAUAAAAGCAUUUACUUCACAGCUAACGUGUUCACAGAUUUGAAAGACGUUUCAUUAAAGCACCAUUGCUCCC